rnacentral:rRNA from 1 species
AGCAGCCGCGGUAAUUCCAGCUCCAAUAGCGUAUAUUAAAGUUGUUGCAGUUAAAAGCUCGUAGUUGAACCUUAGGCCCGUGCGGGUGGUCCGUCCUCAGGGAGAGUACUGCCUCGUUGCGGGUCUCACCUUCUGGCGAGCGUGGAUGCCAUUUAUUUGGUGUCUGCGGGAACCAGGACCUUUACCUUGAAAAAUUAGAGUGCUCAAAGCGGGCUCUUGCGCUUGAAUACAUUAGCAUGGAAUAAUGAAAUAGGACGAUGGUUCUAUUUUGUUGGUUUCUGGGACCGUCGUAAUGAUUAAUAGGGAUAGUUGGGGGCAUUCGUAUUCAAUUGUCAGAGGUGAAAUUCUUGGAUUUAUUGAAGACGGACUACUGCGAAAGCAUUUGCCAAGGAUGUUUUCA